ACGGGAGGCAGCAGUGGGGAAUAUUGCACAAUGGGCGCAAGCCUGAUGCAGCGAUGCCGCGUGAGGGAAGAAGGUUUUCGGAUUGUAAACCUCUGUCAACAGGGACGAAAAUGACGGUACCUGUGAAGGAAGCUCCGGCUAACUACGUGCCAGCAGCCGCGGUAAUACGUAGGGGGCAAGCGUUAUCCGGAUUUACUGGGUGUAAAGGGAGUGUAGGUGGUCUGGUAAGUCAGAUGUGAAAGCCCGCGGCUCAACUGCGGGACUGCAUUUGAAACUAUCAGACUAGAGUGCAGGAGAGGAAAGUGGAAUUCCUAGUGUAGCGGUGAAAUGCGUAGAUAUUAGGAAGAACACCAGUGGCGAAGGCGGCUUUCUGGACUGUAACUGACACUGAGGCUCGAAAGCGUGGGGAGCAAACAGGAUUAGAUACCCUGGUA
rnacentral:rRNA from 1 species